AUUGAACGCUGGCGGCAGGCCUAACACAUGCAAGUCGAGCGGAUGCAUGGAGCUUGCUCCUGGAUUCAGCGGCGGACGGGUGAGUAAUGCCUAGGAAUCUGCCUGGUAGUGGGGGAUAACGUCCGGAUACGGGCGCUAAUACCGCAUACGUCCUGAGGGAGACAGUGGGGGAUCUUCGGACCUCACGCUAUCAGAUGAGCCUAGGUCGGAUUACCUAGUUUGUGGGGUAAAGGCCUACCAAGGCGACGCUCCGUAACUGGUCUGAGAGGAUGAUCAGUCACACUGGAACAGAGACACAGUCCAGACUCCUACGGUGAGCAGCAGUGGGGAAUAUUGGACAAUGGGCGAAAGCCUGAUCCAGCCAUGCCGCGUGUGUGAAGAAGGUCUUCGGAUUGUAAAGCACUUUAAGUUGGGAGGAAGGGCAGUAAGUUAAUCCCUGGCUGUUUUGACGUUACCAACAGAAUAAGCACCGGCUAACUUCGUG
rnacentral:rRNA from 1 species